GCCUGAGUGGCUCAGUCGGUUAAGCCUCUGACUUCAGCUCAGGUCUUGAUCUUGCAGUUCGUGAGUUCAAGCCCCGCAUCGGGCU
rnacentral:tRNA from 1 species